UUAUGGCCAUAUCACGUCGAAACACUGGUUCCCGUACGAUCACCGAAGUAAAGCAACAUCGAGUCUGUCAGUAUCUAGGUAGGUGCCUGCUUGGUAAUAUAAGGUACUGCAAG